GUUUAUUGCAAACCAAAAUGAUAAUAAGAAGUUGCAAGUAAGGGGUUUGCAUAUGAUUAUACUGACUGAUUAUUUAAUUGCUUAAUAAAUUAUUAAUGGGUAAUUGUUCAGUAAUUUCUAUUGUGUAAAUUAUUAUGAUUAAUUUGUAAUUGUUUAAAACAAUGUAAGUUGGCUUACACACGGGCUUUAUUGUAUUCACAACAAUUCUGGCUGGAUAGGGUAAAUUCACUGGCUCGAAAUUGUCCGUAUAGUGUCACUUAAAAAUCAACAAAUGGGAGCGGUGUUCCCUGGGUAGGCCGGCAGGCUGCCCUGGAAACGUCCUUGCUGGGAACCCGGACGGCUCCCUGCAGGUCGGCGGCGGCUCUCGGCGCGGCCGGGGCCCACGGCGUGCGGGUCUCUGGCGGCGGACGUUCGGACGCCUUCGUCCGAGCGCUCGCUGGCGGCGUGCCACGUCGGCGCCCGAUUCCUCGGACAGGAAGGAGCUGGGGACAAAAACAAUGGGUCACUCGGCUGUACUUCCGUCUCACGUAGUGGUUUGACCUUUUGGCCAAAAGAAGGCCUCAGGGAGAAACAAUUGUAAUUUCUCUUACCUGGCAAAACUGCUCCGUACGGCUUCGGACGGCUCGGCCACACCCCGGACAGUACGAUGGACACAGGCGUGCCGCUCGAGGGGCUCGGGACGCGGUCGGCCUUCCGGCUGUCCUCGGACGAGGCAGCGUCGGGACGAGACAGCGGUCGGGGCCUUGGGACGGCUCGGACGAGUGCGAAGGGUUCGGACGGGUGUCCGAAACUGCACUGGAAGUCCAGGUGUCCUCUGAUUUCUCUGAGGUCUGUCAGCCUUCUGCAUCGAGCCAGCGGACGGAGCGCCUUUUAUAGCGCGGGUAGCAGCCCUGGGAGGGUCGUGCAAAACCCACCCACCCAUUUGAUUUACAUUGAGAACUUUCUAGAUGCAUCUAGAAAGUUCUGUGAAUCUGCAGUUGAAUUCUAAAAUGCCUUUAUAAAUUCCCUUGAAGUGAAUUGGAAUCCCAUGAAUUGUACAAGCUAAUUCCAAUUGAAUUUAUAAUAAUUAUUUGUAAAUUUAAAGCUACUUUAAAUUUAAAAUAAAUGCAAGAUUUAUUUGUAAGAAUUCAACUUAAAACAAUUGCCAGAAAUUAAAAAAGAAUAAUUAAAAAGAAAGCCCUUAAAAAAUGAAUUUAAUUGUAAGCCGAAAAUUAAUUGAAUAAUAAUAAUAAAAAAAAACAAUGAAGUUCUCCGAUGACACAGCCACAGUCAAAACAAACAAAUUAAGAGAGGACUAAAAUAAUUAUUCCACACCAAAUCCCCCUCUUUUGACUGGCGGCUGUGGUCAGCUGUGACUGGAUGAUCUCCAGGACGAUUGCCAGGACGACGUACUGCACGUAGACUGUCCAGAUCCUGAGCUGGCGCUGUCCUCAAGGAAAAACGUCGUGGGCACCAUAAUCACGCGUGAAUCCGGCCUUGUUGUUGUUGUUGUUCGCAUGCGGCGAGGGCGAGGUCUUGGUCCUUUGUGCGCUGAUUUUUCCUUCUCCCUCUCCUGGCUUGAUGGCGAACUUGGUUGUGGCGCCACUCUCAUCUCUCUCCUGCUGAUUUUUCUUCCCCCUCUUGUGAAAAGUUCAUUGACUUUUUGGCCGCCACAGAUAACAGCUGGCCCACGUUGUUUAUUUGCCGCACUCGUUGUGGUUUUUUGUGUGGGAGUUUUAAUGGCAAAUUCGGCCUUAUCUGUCGGUUGUCGGCGUUGUCGGCGGUGCCGUCGGCAAGUAAAUGCAUGCUGGGCGAUGUGGUCGGCAGGUGGGAAAUUUUGUCUUCGUAAACCUGAUUGGACACUGUGCGACACGGCAAGCUCGCUUUAGAAGCCCUUUGUUGUCGUCGCUUGAACCGUCUUUUCCGUCGACGUUUCUCUUUACGAGUCGCAGAAGGGACGUGGUCGUUGCUGGCGGAUGGUCGGUGGGUAUGGACAAUAUCCUUUUGGUUUGACGGAGGUGAGAAUGGACAUGGAGCGUGAGAGGUGGAGUUGCUGGUUAGAAGGUGCUUUGGAUGAACUUGAUUCUGUCUGUUCAUGGAAAUUUGACGGAAAUGGUGGAAGCACUGCACCAGGUGGAAUGGCUGGCAGCCAUUGUUGGGAGGAAAACGGACUGGAGAGUGGAGGAACUGCCGAUGAGUAUUGCGGACUCGAAGCAGCGGGAAAUGGCCCUGGCCAGCGUUGGUUCAUUUGAGGGUGGCUUCUGAAGGCAGCAAGUGGAGGAAAAUUUUGUUGUUGAGGGAAACAGUGUUGUUUCUUCAACGAGAAUGGCGAUUUUGCGUGCCUCAAGAAUUGAUUUUGGCUGCCGGAUGUACACCUGCCAAUAAAAGUCGACUCGUAGGCCACGGAUGAAAAUGCGCAGAAACUCCUCUUCUCUGACCUCAAAGUUUUGUUUUAAACUUAAUCCAACAAUUAGUUGCUCCUGGUGCCACAAUUUGUCUGCCAGCUCUCUUCACGUAGGUGCUUACUGGCGGCUCAAAUUCGUCUUGAAAAACCUUCUGGAGUGAGGAGAAGUUGCUGAUGGUGGCCUCGUCAAGAUGCUUAACAAACUCCCUUGCUCGUCCAGAAGUGCGGAAAAGUAACAACCACCACACAUCUUUUGGCUGCAGUUGUUGGUCCCUCUGUGAGUACGUCUGGUUUUGGCGCCUCGUCGUGAUUGAUGUGGGACACUGGGUGUUCAGGCAGCAGUUGGCCAACCUGUGAUGCGCCGUCCAAGGGGAGGAGGUGCUCCUGAGGGUGCAGGACAUCCACCUGAGUGUACUGCUGGUAUUGGCAAGAAAGAAGUGUUUGUUGUUGUUGAAGUGGGAGGGAAAUUUGUGCAAUUGGGUCGUUGUCGUCCGACUUGUACAGCUGUAGAGUCUUUCCAGGGUCACACCCUCCAGGGUCACACCCCGUUGUUAUCUGCUCAGCAGCCAGGGGUCCAAAAUGAAUUUGAUUUAAAAAUAAAGGAGACAGUUGUUCUUUGUCUGCCAUUGUAUUUUAACAAAAUAGAGUGUUAAAAAUUGUGUAAAUUGUAAUUUGUUUAUUGUGUUUGUCAGUAUAAUCCCCAGGAGUGCCAGGAUCGCCAAUUGGUAUUACAAAUUUAGUUUAUUGCAAACCAAAAUGAUAAUAAGAAGUUGCAAGUAAGGGGUUUGCAUAUGAUUAUACUGACUGAUUAUUUAAUUGCUUAAUAAAUUAUUAAUGGGUAAUUGUUCAGUAAUUUCUAUUGUGUAAAUUAUUAUGAUUAAUUUGUAAUUGUUUAAAACAAUGUAAGUUGGCUUACACACGGGCUUUAUUGUAUUCACAACAAUUCUGGCUGGAUAGGGUAAAUUCACUGGCUCGAAAUUGUCCGUAUAGUGUCACUUAAAAAUCAACAAAUGGGAGCGGUGUUCCCUGGGUAGGCCGGCAGGCUGCCCUGGAAACGUCCUUGCUGGGAACCCGGACGGCUCCCUGCAGGUCGGCGGCGGCUCUCGGCGCGGCCGGGGCCCACGGCGUGCGGGUCUCUGGCGGCGGACGUUCGGACGCCUUCGUCCGAGCGCUCGCUGGCGGCGUGCCACGUCGGCGCCCGAUUCCUCGGACAGGAAGGAGCUGGGGACAAAAACAAUGGGUCACUCGGCUGUACUUCCGUCUCACGUAGUGGUUUGACCUUUUGGCCAAAAGAAGGCCUCAGGGAGAAACAAUUGUAAUUUCUCUUACCUGGCAAAACUGCUCCGUACGGCUUCGGACGGCUCGGCCACACCCCGGACAGUACGAUGGACACAGGCGUGCCGCUCGAGGGGCUCGGGACGCGGUCGGCCUUCCGGCUGUCCUCGGACGAGGCAGCGUCGGGACGAGACAGCGGUCGGGGCCUUGGGACGGCUCGGACGAGUGCGAAGGGUUCGGACGGGUGUCCGAAACUGCACUGGAAGUCCAGGUGUCCUCUGAUUUCUCUGAGGUCUGUCAGCCUUCUGCAUCGAGCCAGCGGACGGAGCGCCUUUUAUAGCGCGGGUAGCAGCCCUGGGAGGGUCGUGCAAAACCCACCCACCCAUUUGAUUUACAUUGAGAACUUUCUAGAUGCAUCUAGAAAGUUCUGUGAAUCUGCAGUUGAAUUCUAAAAUGCCUUUAUAAAUUCCCUUGAAGUGAAUUGGAAUCCCAUGAAUUGUACAAGCUAAUUCCAAUUGAAUUUAUAAUAAUUAUUUGUAAAUUUAAAGCUACUUUAAAUUUAAAAUAAAUGCAAGAUUUAUUUGUAAGAAUUCAACUUAAAACAAUUGCCAGAAAUUAAAAAAGAAUAAUUAAAAAGAAAGCCCUUAAAAAAUGAAUUUAAUUGUAAGCCGAAAAUUAAUUGAAUAAUAAUAAUAAAAAAAAACAAUGAAGUUCUCCGAUGACACAGCCACAGUCAAAACAAACAAAUUAAGAGAGGACUAAAAUAAUUAUUCCACACCACUGCUUAAAGCGGUGAUUUUUUUUUUCUUUUUUGGCAAUGCCGUGUUGCACCGUGUUGGAAUAAAUUUUUCUUUUAGAUCGAAUCGGUAAAAUACUUGAUAAUAUCUUGUGAUGCUUGAUGGAAAUUCAAUUAUAUUAUUUUUAACCUUCAUCAUAAUUUGUUUCUAUUUAAUAUUACUUUGAAAUUUGAGCUAAAAAAACAAAUAAUUAUCAAUCAAAUUUAUUUAUAGUGAACUAGAUAUCUGGAAAAUACGAAAAUGUGACAAGUUCAUGUUUAAAUUUGAAUCAGUUUAUUUAUUUAAUUAAGCGCAAAUACCACCAAUCAUAGCAUAGAGAAAGACCAGCUUUUUUUUAAUUUUAUUUAUUACAAAUUUAUUGAAUUAUAACUAUAAAUUAUUCUUUUAAAAUAUUAUUAAAAUUAAUUUGCAAAUGGGGCGCGUUGCAAUGAGUCAUUACAUCGUGGCGACGCUUCAUAUGUCAAUAAAGAUCAAUAAUAAUAAUUCUGUCUUUCAAUUAUGUAUUAUUUAAAUAAAAAAUUACUCUGCACAAACUUCGCUUGAGCCGCGCAACAGGAGAAAUUUCGCCCAGCAAACUGGUUGUGGACGACUUAUGGGCCGCGCAUGCAUCAAACUUCGUUCGCGCGACUACUCAAUCGUGGACUUCGCAUUUAUGAAAAUUUUAAUUAAA